GGUGUCUUGGAGAAGUGGUUAACUCGCUCGCUUUGGGUUCAGUCAAAUUGCGAGAGGUCAGGGGUUCGAACCCCCUAGACACCC